rnacentral:rRNA from 1 species
UACAGAGGGGGCAAGCGUUAUUCGGAAUUAUUGGGCGUAAAGGGCGCGUAGGCGGCUUUUCAAGUGACGGGUGAAAUCCCUCGGCUUAACCGAGGAACUGCCUGUCAGACUGGAAGGCUUGAGACCGGGAGAGGUGAGUGGAAUUCCCAGUGUAGCGGUGAAAUGCGUAGAUAUUGGGAGGAACACCAGUGGCGAAGGCGGCUCACUGGACCGGAACUGACGCUGAGGCGCGAAAGCGUGGGGAGCAAACCGG